rnacentral:rRNA from 1 species
UCACCAAACUCUUGUUAAUUUAUGGCCUCUCUGAGUCUUCUGUACUGAAUAAGUCAAAACUUUCAACAACGGAUCUCUUGGUUCUGGCAUCGAUGAAGAACGCAGCGAAAUGCGAUAAGUAAUGUGAAUUGCAGAAUUCAGUGAAUCAUCGAAUCUUUGAACGCACAUUGCGCCCGCCAGUAUUCUGGCGGCAUGCCUGUUCGAGCGUCAUUUCAACCAUCAAGCCCCCGGGCUUGUGUUGGGGACCUGCGGCUGCCGCAGCCCCUGAAAAGCAGUGGCGGGCUCGCUGUCACACCGAGCGUAGUAGCAUACAUCUCGCUCUGGGCGUGCUGCGGUCCCGGCCGUUAACCACCUUUUAACCCAGGUUGACCUCGGAUCAGGUAGGAAGACCCGCUGAACUUAGCAUAUCAUAGGCCGAGAAAGAUCCGCGG